GUCGUCACCGAACGUCCCAGGUGGGAACUGAAGUCCUUCCACCACUGGCUGGAUGUAUCACCCAGCGGAGCCCUACCCAGGCCGAGCCAGCUGGUACCCCCAGCCCAACGGAGGUCCCGAUAGAGGCCAGUGGGGUCCGAUGAGCGACCGCACAUGGAGCCCCAGCAACAGGUUUCAUGGAGGCCAUAGCCAACCUCAACGCCCACACACACACCACCUCUACACAAGGGGGGAACGGAAAUCAUCCCAGCACUCCCAAGACAAGGUUCCCCCCCGGGGACACAGAUCACCGUUACACUCCUGGGAGCACAAGAACCAGCCCUACGAAGGCCACACCUCCUCCCAGCGUAGCUCCUCCCACGCAUUCCAGAACUGGACUCGAACCCACGGCGGGAACGGGCCUCCCUCAGGUCCUCCGGGGGAACUCUACGCCCCCUGGAGGGAGGAUGACAGCCACCCCAGGUACGGGCCCCUCCCUCCCCACCUGGACCCCGGCAGAGAUGCCCUACUGCAGCGCUGGGCCCAGGGGGACGGCUACCGCGACGCCGCGGGCCGGGCGGUGAGCCAGCGGGUGACGGGGGUCUGGAGACGGCCUGACGUCUACCAGCAGCACAGAGACCAGCUCCACGCCACACCAGCCCCCCGCGACGCCUGCCCCGCCAAGAGGAGGCGCAGCGACGGCCCUGACCAGACGCCGUUCUCUGGCUCCAAGCAUUCGUCGUUACCGCCUCAGGCCCUGUCUCCUCCGACCCGUUACCAUGACAAAUGGUACGGCCCCCGCCAUCGCCCGGACCCCCGAAGCCCCUCCCCUGCUCUGCAACAGGACACCUCUCAACCGCGACACGGAGCUCCGAGCGUCCACGACAGCAAACCAUCAGGCCACGCCCACCGGACCCCCCCCCCCGCGCCGCGCCACGCCCACCACCGGCCCUCCGCCCCGCCCGGAGGCGGCGGCGUCGCCAGGGCGACGCACCACGGCGGCCGGGAGAAGGGGGACCACCACAAACCCUGGUCGUCCUCGCCAGCAGAACACACGCGCGUGCCUUACGGUCAUCACCAACACGCCCCGCCCCCCCGGCACAGCCAGCCCCGCACCCCCCCCCACAGCCCCCCGCCGCGGGGCUGCUGGCCGGAGCCCCGCGGACACAGCCACCGGCCCAGCACAGAAGACGACAUCCAGUCCCCUGGGAGGGGCAAGUCCAGGAACCCUGGCCCCGUGCAGGGCUCUGCCGCGGACCCCCCCACGCCCCCCUCCCCCUCGGGGUCUCCCCCCCCUCGCCCCAGGCCCAGCGGGAGGCGAGAGCCCCUGGCCCCUGCCUCCGCACCCCCCCCGGGCAGGAAGCCGGCCGCGACGGCCCCGAGACACCCCCCGUCAGACAUCCUGCCCCCCGGUCCCCCCGCCCCCGCCCCUGGAGCCAAGGCCUGCCCCUCAGAGAGGUCAGAGGUCGAGGUCAGGAGGACCCCCUCCCAGAAGGCCGUCCGUAAGAAGCCCAGACCCUCGCAGGCCCCGGAGACCAAGACCAAACGCAGCGGACACGAGCGGAAACAAGAGAAGCUGAGCCGGCUGAAGGAGAGGCUGAAGAAGAAGGAGAGGAGGGUGGAGGAGGAGGAGAGGAGGGUGGAGGAGGAGGAGAGGAGGGUGGAGGAGGAGGAGAGGAGGGUGGAGGAGGAGAGGAGGGUAGAGGAGGGGGUGAUGGAGAAGGAGAGGGUGAUGGAGAAGGGGAUGAGGGUGGAGGGAGAGAGGAGUAGAGAGGAGGGGAAGGUGAAGAAGCUGCGAGGGUCCAAAAGCCUCUCCUCCAGGAGGGAGGACUCCAAACUCCGACACCAGAGGAAGAAGAAGCGAGAGAAAAGCAAGCGGUUGAAGGAGGAGUCGGGGGCGACGGAGACCGCGGAGAACGGAGUGAAGACGGCGCCGCCGCCGCCGCCGCCGCCGCCACAGCCCAGAGCGCCGGGUCACCCAGAGAUCCACCGGAGGAUCCUCUCCCAGAAGGACCGGCCCCCGCAGACACUGGCCGGCCCCUCCAAGUUAAAACACCGAGAGCGCCCUGGGAGAGCAGCGAAGGCCCCCGGGCGCAGAGCAACGGCUGCCGGCCCGGCGGACCCUCCCCCCCCCCCCUCACCUCCCCUCCUACAAACCCUCAGAGGAGGGCCGCCCCUCAACCAGACCCCCCCCCCAGCCGUCCCCCCCGCGCCCAGCCCCUAA
ensembl:lncRNA